rnacentral:snoRNA from 1 species
UAUCCAUGAUGUGGGCACUGGCCCAUCAAAUCUUUAAACCUCUCCCAGACCUGAUGAAAGUUUCAUGGUCCUUUUGGGUGAAGGUAGAGAUUUGCCUCUUAAGGUU